GCCAGGCGUGGUGGCGCAUGCCUGUGGUCCCCACUACUUGGGAGGCUGAGGCAGGAGGAUUGCUUGAGCCCAGGAGGUGGAGGUUGCAGUGAGCCAAGAUUGCACCACUGCACUCCAGCCUGGGUGACAGAGCUAGACCCUGUCUCAA
rnacentral:SRP_RNA from 1 species